AUGCUCGCUUUGGCAGCACAUAUCCUAAAAUUGGAAAUAUACUGAGAAGAUUAACAUGACCGCUGUGCAAGGAUGACACGCAAAUUUGUGAAGCGUUCCAUAUUUUU